UACAUUGACAAUGGGAGUUCUCGAACAGAAGACAAGACCUUUGUCGAGGAAAUGACAGCAACUACUGUCAGUCGAGCCAAUUUGUGUUGGCCAUGACAGUGACUUUAACUCUGCAUAUAUGAAUGAGUUGUGAUGAUGGCGGGUGGACAAACAAGCUGGCGCUGGAAAAGUCCAUAAAUUGGCGCCCAGAAGAUUUCUGCCGAUGUGGUGGUCAUCUCCGCAGGUUAGUUUUGGUUUGAAUGCCUUGGUUAAUCAUUAAAAACUGAAAUCAGAGGAAGAUACAUGCCACCAUCUGCUCCUCAAUGAGGGAUAUUCAUAUUCCAAGACCUUAAAGAACCGUUUAAAGCCUACUUCAGAUUUCUUGGUUCAAGAAAUUCACAGGUUUUACCCUCUUAAACCCCUCCAAGAAGAGCACAGGAAAUUAACAUGAGAUUAAGUUGAAUGAAUCACCAUGGCACAUGCAAUGAGUCAAAAGAAUAUGCAGUUGAAUGAAUCCUAAUAAUGCUGGGAAAUCAGGAAAACAUCAACAGUGGAGCUAGCAGCUACAACUAAGAGCUUCUGCUUUUGCAGGUUUUUUUUUUUUUUUUGUUAUUGCAACGAUAACAUUUGUAUAACCUAAUCUAUUCUACUUUAAGUGGCAACUGUUUAAACCCGUGUCUACUUAAAAUUAAGCAACGGCUUGCAGCAGUACCGUGAACCCUUUAAAUGCAUUUCCACCCACUUGAUUUUUAACACCAUCACCCCCCACCCCCACCCCUUUGGUUGGUGGGCAUACCGCAUAUGAUGAGACGACAGUCGACAGAGCUGAGUAAAUACUCACCAAGUGGUUCAGGAUAACUAGCAGAAAACACUCACUAUAAAAAAAAAAAAAAAAAAA